UGCGUAGGCGGUUUGACAAGUCUAGUGUGAAAUCUAUGGGCUCAACUCAUAGUCUGCACUGGAAACUGUCGGGCUUGAGUAUGGGAGAGGUGAGUGGAAUUUCCGGUGUAGCGGUGAAAUGCGUAGAUAUCGGAAGGAACACCUGUGGCGAAAGCGGCUCACUGGACCAUAACUGACGCUGAUGCACGAAAGCUAGGGGAGCAAACAGGAUUAGAUACCCUGGUAGUCCUAGCCCUAAACGAUGAUCGCUUGAUGUGGCAGGUACCCAAUCCUGCCGUGUCGAAGCUAACGCGAUAAGCGAUCCGCCUGGGAAGUACGGUCGCAAGGCUGAA
rnacentral:rRNA from 1 species